rnacentral:rRNA from 1 species
UGGGGAAUAUUGGACAAUGGGGGCAACCCUGAUCCAGCCAUGCCGCGUGUGUGAAGAAGGCCCUCGGGUUGUAAAGCACUUUCAGCGAGGAAGAACGCCUAGCGGUUAAUACCCAUUAGGAAAGACAUCACUCGCAGAAGAAGCACCGGCUAAUUCCGUGCCAGCAGCCGCGGUAAUACGGAGGGUGCAAGCGUUAAUCGGAAUUACUGGGCGUAAAGCGCGCGUAGGUGGCUUGAUAAGCCGGUUGUGAAAGCCCCGGGCUCAACCUGGGAACGGCAUCCGGAACUGUCAAGCUAGAGUGCAGGAGAGGAAGGUAGAAUUCCCGGUGUAGCGGUGAAAUGCGUAGAGAUCGGGAGGAAUACCAGUGGCGAAGGCGGCCUUCUGGACUGACACUGACACUGAGGUGCGAAAGCGUGGGUAGCAAACAGGAUUAGAUACCCGUGUAGUCCCUGAGCGGGCUGGCAAGGCGCAU